AUACGUAGGGGGCAAGCGUUGUCCGGAAUCACUGGGCGUAAAGGGUGCGUAGGCGGCUUAGCAAGUCCUGUGUGAAAUACCUCGGCUUAACCGGGGAGGGUCAUGGGAAACUGUUAGGCUCGAGUGCCGGAGAGGGCAGUGGAAUUCCAGGUGUAGCGGUGAAAUGCGUAGAUAUCUGGAGGAACAUCAGUGGCGAAGGCGACUGCCUGGACGGUAACUGACGCUGAGGCACGACAGCUGGGGGAGCAAACAGGAUUAGAUACCCUGGUAGUCCCAGCCGUAAACGAUGAGUGCUAGGUGUUGGGGGUAUCGACCCCUCCAGUGCCGUAGUAAACACAUUAAGCACUCCGCCUGGGGAGUACGGCCGCAAGGCUGAA
rnacentral:rRNA from 1 species